CAAAUUCCCCUCCGCCUCGCCUGACCACUCCGCCCGCUCUUCCUCUCCUUUUUCCCAAGUCCCCGGCGCCGCCGCCCGCCGUCCCCACCAAGCACCACUCGUCCCUCUUCCUCUCCCUCUCCACCCGCGCGCGCGCCGCCUCCCCCAGCUCCCCGUUCCCCUCGCCGUCUCCUCCGGCGGAUGGGGUCGGCCCCGCGGCGCCGAUGCGGGGUGACGUGUACCUGGGGCGGUAGCUCGCGGCCGCGGCCGCGGCGGGCGCCCGUACGCGCGCGUCGGAGGAGGAUGCCGAGAGGCGCCACCGCCGCAAGGAGAAGCGGUGGGCCCUGGCCAAGAAGACGCCCUUCCCUUUUCUCCGAAGUCAAUCAAUCCCUACCUCCCUCCAUCAAUCAUGCGGGCAGGGCAGGGCAUCCCCUCCAAGAUUUGAUUUUGCUUCUAAAUCUUUAGGGGAGGGGAAGGAAGGGAAGGGAAGGAGGAGGAAGCGUCCAUCUCCGUCAGCGUCAGCGUCAGCGUCACCGUUCCUUCCUCCUUGCCGCCGGAGGAGGAGGAAGAAGAAGAGCAUGAAGAGGAGGAUGACAUGGCUGUGGUGAAGAUGACGCUGGGCCCUCAGGUUCCCCUCAAGGACCUCCUCCACCUCCACAAGGCAAGCAAAGCAACCUACAUCUGCAUCUUUCUUUCUUUCUUUUUAAUACUAGUAAUAGAUAAUAGAUACUGAAACUGCAAAUGGAUGGAUGGAUCUAUGUAAAUAUGUAGUGUAGGGGGAGGAGGAGGAGGACCAGUCGAUGAAUUUGAGGUUUCUUUGAUGCUUACUGUUGUGAUUCAUAAAGGUCUGAAUCUGAUCCCGUAAGUAAGAUUAUUAAUUUCAACUGAAUCAUUUUUUGGGCAGUGAGUCACUCAUUCAUCUAUGUAUACUUAUUAAUGUGGCCACUAAUUAAUUUUCUUCCAGUUGGACCUGCCUGCCUCUGCAUAUAUAUUCAGAUAGAUAACGCAUAUGUUUGACCUGCCUGCUGUGCAAAAUACCACCACACAAGGCAGGGUGGCACCACCGAUCCCGCACCUCAGUUGCUUCAAACUUUGACAAAAGGGCCACAACCCAGUUCCAUUAAUAAGAAAUGAUGAAACAAGCAGGUUUGGGGUUCUGAAACUUGGACAAAAAGCAAAGCCAAAAGAGAAAAACAGCAAAUGCAGCAAAAAAAUAUAGGAAUGCUUUUGUAAACUCAUUUGUAAGGUUUUCAAUGUUUAUUUCCAUGGUUUUAUUGCCAUUCAGAAUCAUGUACGUGCCACUGCUAUGCUCUGUUUUCAUCUUGCAUUUCAGCAACCAAAACGUCGAAUUUAUAUCUUCAGUUUCGAUCUUCCAUGUCUUUGUGAAAGUUCAAUCCAACCACCAGUACUGUACUCCACAAAAUAACAUUUUUGGUCCGAGAUAAAUAUGUCUAUGUGUUCUUUUAUGAUUAUUACUACUCCAGUAGUGAAUGUUGGAGUAUGUUGAAGCAGUCGUGGAGUCUUGCGGUGGCUUUUUGUAUCUUGCCAACUAAAGAGGUGGUUGCAGAGGUGGACAGAGAUGACUACAACCUGCCAGGAGCUGAAACUCUGAAACUUCCAAAGAAAUCGACACUUCAGUUCAGCUCAGAAAAUGUUUGCUGCUUGCAAAUCUUCCAAUGGACGACUUGCAACUUGCCGGUUCACGGUAUAGCGCUCAACUUGUUAUCUCUGAACUUGGCUGAAUUUUGUUGGAGCCUAUUACUGCCAUGUUCAGCUACCUAGUGGUCCAAUAUAAGAACGGAACCAAGCCUUGAGGACAGGGGCCAUAGGAUGGGCACAGCAUCAUUGUGGAAGUCUGCAGAAUAUUGAUCUCUUUCUUUCAAACACACCACACUUCUUUACAAUAGUUUUGAACUGGCUGGGUGGCAGUGAAAGCCAGGACGCACUAUCUGAAGUUCUGGCUGGCAUCACGUCUCCCAUUGACACUGAGUUCUUUUGCAGAAGUGCUCAUUCUGCAGCUAUGUAUGCUGUCACCUCCAUGAUCUGCUAUGCUGAUGACCGCUACGUCUGCUUUGCUCGAGAAGAGGACAAGUGGGUCAUAUAUGGCUUCGAGACUGUCGAGAGAGAAGAUAGUUGGGAGCAUUUGCUAGAACGCUGGUGGCAUGGCACGAGGCCGACAUUGACUGGGGCCUGCUUGAGCCGAGGGCUAGGGCGAGGGACGUCACGGUGUCACAACUCAAGGCGGCGGCUGCCAUCGGUCAAGUGUGGCUCGUCGAGGCUGCUCGUUAUACUUCGUUGCAGCUGAAGGCCGCGGGAUCAGGCCAGGAAGGCGCCAUGCGUUGACAAGUGAGCCAAUUUUUGGAUCGGACCAUGACAACGUGUCUCAGUCUCUGACUUCUAGAAGUAGUGGUAAAGUUUUGAAUUUGCAUGGCAAGAACCACUUAUGUAGGUAGCUGACACGCACAACAUUGUGUUUACGCUCUUACUUAUGUAAAAGAUAUGAAUUAUACACGAGUUGCCUCUACAAUGAGGAGUUGUGCUAGUAGAUACGGCAAUUGUGUGAUAGAA